CAAGGGUCGGUGCAGGAUCUUUCAAGCAGCAACCUAGAAGUCCAGGUGCUUGCCCACACGGCGCCACUUUUUCUCCUUGUGUCUUCCUUGAUCGUCAUGCCUUGCCGGCGCUUUUGCCGGUGAGAAAAACUUAUUGAGGAAUCCAGCAUGGAAACCGGUACCGUAAAGUGGUUCAACGAUUCGAAGGGUUUUGGCUUCAUUACGCCUGAUGCAGGCGGCAACGACCUGUUCGCGCACUUCUCUGAAAUCCAGGGCAGCGGCUUCAAGUCGCUGCAAGAAGGCCAGAAGGUGCGUUAUGUCGCCGGCGUCGGCCAGAAGGGCCCGGCCGCGACCAAGAUCGAGCCGAUCUGAGCGCGUCGAACCGAUUUGAGCUGAGCGCCCCGGCGCCAGCUUGAUAAGAAAAGCUCCGCUGCGGCGGAGCUUUUUCAU
rnacentral:sRNA from 1 species